rnacentral:lncRNA from 1 species
CCUUCUAUCUCUUCGCGAAACGAAGCAUAGAUCUAGAUGAAACGGGGAGGUUUGUGUUUGACGGUUUUGAAAUCCAUAACUCCGUUUUUGAAUCCGGGAAGAAGGAAGAAGCUGAAAAUUUGUUCUUACUCACCCACAAUCCUUGGGUUUCUACUCUUGAACAAAAGAAGCAGCGAAAAUGGAGGUAGAAGGAAGAAGAAGGAAUGGGUUUCACGCGAGGCAGAGGAAGAAGGAGAACUUUUGUUUUCUUUCUUUUCUUUUUCUUUCCUUUUUCCUUUUCUUCUCUUUCUCUUUCCUUUUCUUC